rnacentral:rRNA from 1 species
UAAUACGGGGGGUGCAAGCGUUAUUCGGAAUUACUGGGCGUAAAGAGCGCGUAGGCGGUCUUUUAAGUCAGGUGUGAAAGCCCGGGGCUCAACCCCGGAAGUGCACUUGAAACUGAGAGACUUGAGUAUGGGAGAGGGAAGUGGAAUUCCUGGUGUAGCGGUGAAAUGCGUAGAUAUCAGGAGGAACACCGGUGGCGAAGGCGACUUCCUGGACCAAUACUGACGCUGAGGCGCGAAGGCGUGGGGAGCAAACAGGAUUAGAUACCCUGGUAGUCCACGCAGUAAACGUUGAACACUAGGUGUAGCGGGUAUUGACCCCUGCUGUGCCGCAGCAAACGCAUUAAGUGUUCCGCCUGGGGAGUACGACCGCAAGGUUA